rnacentral:lncRNA from 1 species
UAGCAUCACCUUGCGAGUGAUACAUCCAAAAUCGCUUUUUGGUAAUGAUGUCUUUUCACUCUCCUUCCAAUAUCUACCACUGUCGGAUUAUUUGUCCUAUUAUAUAAAAGAAAAUAUACCCUCGUCAAUAAUGUAAGUAGUAGUAGUCGUCUUAAAUAUACGAGUAUGAAUUAUGAUCAAAAUUUGAAGGGUAUGUCAACAGUAAACAAUAGCGUGAAUACAAAUAGAUACUAUAUAACAUGAACACGGUUCUUUUACACAAAAAUGAAAACAUGAACACGGUUAAAAUAUAAUAAUUCAUCUUGGAGGUGAAAGACAAAGAUUCCAACUAUUGUAUUACUACUCCGAUUAUGGUUCGACUAGUGAAAAUUUUAAAUGAUCAAAGUCUUCACAAUCCACCAUAGGAACUAGUCUAAAUUUCAGCUCUAAAUCUAUAGGUUAUAAAAAGCGCUUAAAUAACGUAAUUUUUGAUAAACAAAGAAUAAAAGAAAAAUUCAUAUAGAAACCCUGAUUAGUAUUCGCUAUUUAAGAUAUUCACGUGAUCAAUAAUAAUUAAACUUACAGUAGAAAGAUUACGAACUAUUAUCUUUCAGCUACUCUUUAGCUACUAGAAUAUUGUAAAUGCACUCAAUAAAAGUUAAUACAUAUUGUAAGUUUUUAUACAAAAAAAAUGUACUCAAUAAAAACUUACAGUAUAUAGUAACUUUUAAAAGGUUACAUCUGAAGUUAAUAUAUAAACAUUCUGCAUUGUUGAAAUCUCUCAUAAUGAAAAUAUUAUAAUGAGAUAGGGAAUUGUUGACACAGACGCAUAAAUUUGCAGUUAGAGUAUGUUUUUUUUUAGGUCUAGUGACUAAUCAUCAUGAGGUCUGUAAGAUCUGUGUUUUUUUACCACUUAAAGUGUUUUGGAUGGUUAAAGAGAAUCGAACCUAAGAUAGUACUUACAGCUGUGAAUCCUUUAUCAUUAUGUUAAAACCACUUGGUUAAUUAUGUUAGGUUGUUAAGGUUCGAUUUUAAAAUAACACGUUCAGACGCCUACACUAGAGAGCGAACAUAUAUAUUUUUCUUCUUUUAUAUAUAUAUAUAUAUAUUUGUCAUAACAGAUUUUAUUGUGUGUGUGUAUAAACUGAAAGAUUAAAAUGAGAUGGACUUGGCAAAUAUAAAUAUGAUGUGAUGGGUUCCUUGUAAUCUCUCGCUCUAUCUAAUAGUUUCUCAGUUAUCUUUUCUUUGCCAGAAAUGGCAGUGAAGGGCAGUGGCAGUAAGAGCAAACAAGAAAACUGAGGAGAGAGUUUGUUUUCUUUCAUGGGGAAAGUAAAACUUUGCCUUGAAGAUUUCACUCUUCACUUUUUUGUAUCUAAGACUUUUGAUUUCAACGAAUCACUGUCCUUAACCUAAAAGCAAGAAGAUAAGCUUUUUCAUACUCGUCUUAUGUUUUCCCUUUAAAAUAUAUUCUAUAUUAAUUACUUAUGGACAUAGCCAUAAGAGUAUGGGAGUAUACUCAUUUUCAAAAUAAUUACUAAUCCCAAACAUCCCCCAGGAGAUGGAUUUUAAUAUAUUUUUUUCCCUGAACUCUACUAUGAUCACCUCUUCCCCAGUAUAUAGUGACUCUCCUUUUCGUGCUAUAUUAAGGGAUAUGUAUUCCUAGAAGCCCAAGUCCCUUAUAUAUUACCUGACUCUGAUACCAUGUUAAGCUAGAUGAGCUUCCAACCUAAAACCAAUUGGUGCUAAGUGGAGUGGUCCAUCCAUCUUAUAUAUUGCUAAGGAUCCCUUCCAAUAUCUGAUGUGAAACAUUUAUCCCUAAUACCCCUCCUCGAGAUGAUGGCUCUUAUCGGCCAGAAAUCUCGGAAAUUUUUUAAAACAGUUAUACUCGGUCGAGCGAGUUAAUUACAACCUAUAUACCCGGUCGGGUAGAGUUAAUAUUAAUUAGGGAUUUAACUUAUUAGGAUCUAGACUCUGAUACCAUGUAAAAUAUAAUAGAAUAUGAUAUAUUAUUGUGUUGUGUUUAAUAAGAGAAUACAAUAUGCAUAUAUAUAGUGGUAACAUUAACAUAAUGUUAACACUAGAUAAUGCUAACUUUCCUAAACACUUAAUGAAAAUAUGCUAAAAUAUCUUAAGAGUAACUUGUUCUUCAAGUCUUUCCUUUUAGUUUUGAGGAUCUUCAUGGAUUUCACAGGCUUCACAAUCUAGGUCCGUAAGAUACAUAUCUUCCGGCCCAACAUAUCUCUAAUAUGCUAGCAAAUAUGUUCCAAUAUCUUAGGCUACUCAACACAUACUUUUGUCAGUUAAUUAUUGAGAAUCUAGGAAACUUUGUUUGUACAAUGGUGAGUAUCUUCGCAUGAUAUAUACAUACCCUCCUUAUAUUUUAAUUCAAAAAUGCAUAUACAUAAUACAGAGUAGGUAUAUUAUGACAUCGUUGUUCAAAAAAAAAAAAAAGGUAUAUUAUGACAUCAUAAACCGAGACUUUUGGCAAAUCAGUGGUUAAUGAAAAUCAAACCAAAUGUUUCUUGUUACACCUGGGCUUUCUGAAGAACAUUCCGGUUUUCUCCAUUUCAAGCAAUUGUCACUAUUGAUUUCGAUCCGGUUUAUUACCUCGCAAACGAUGAAAAUGAGAAAUCAUAUUUUAGUAGCUGAACAUAAAAGAGUUAAGAACCCGCAGAUCACACAAUCUUUGUCCACGUCUGAUGUUUCCUCUUUUAAAAUACAAAUUUCUCAGGUUUAGAAAAAAGAAAAUAAAUAAAUGUCUCGAUUUAUUUUGUAAGAAAAAUUCAGU